rnacentral:rRNA from 1 species
GAGUUUGAUCAUGGCUCAGAACGAACGCUGGCGGCGCGUCUUAAGCAUGCAAGUCGAACGGCAAGAGAGGAGCUUGCUUCUCUCCUAGAGUGGCGGACUGGUGAGGAACACGUGGGUAAUCUACCCUUAAGAUGGGGAUAGCUGCUAGAAAUAGCAGAUAAUACCGAAUACACUCGAUAUUUCAUAAGAGAUUUUGAGGAAAGGAAGCUACGGCUUCGCUUAAGGAUGAGCUUGCGUCCCAUUAGCUUGUUGGUGAGGUAACGGCCCACCAAGGCGACGAUGGGUAUCCGGCCUGAGAGGGUGAUCGGACACAUUGGGACUGAGAUACGGCCCAAACUCCUACGGGAGGCAGCAGCUAAGAAUAUUCCGCAAUGGACGGAAGUCUGACGGAGCGACGCCGCGUGGAUGAAGAAGGCUGAAAAGUUGUAAAAUCCUUUUGUUGAUGAAGAAUAAGGGGAAGAGGGAAUGCUUCUCUGAUGACGU